UAAAAAGAGAAAAUAAGGAACAUGUUCUAUACGAGAGUGCUACCAAAGGAAACCAAUGAAAAAUCAUGUUGACGUACAGCCCGCCGGCGGGGCCUGCAGAAGGCGAUGUCGCUUUCUGGUGGCGGGUGGCCAUGGACGUGUUGCAGGCGUUGGGGUGGCGCGGUGGCGCGAGCUCGGAUGUACUCAGGUUGUCAAAAGGCAAACUAUUCCUGAUAUAGGCAAUGAUGAUGAAGUGCCAAUAUCAGGAAGAAAGCGACAUGUACAACAGAGAUUAGGAAAUAAUGUGGUUGUUUCUGAUUCGUAUAGGAGUCAACAUAGUAAUAAAAGUUGAAUUAUCUUCAUACAUAUGGUAGGUGCAGGAGGUACCAUGCAAGCAAGCAGGGUGACCAGGAUCAUGCUGCAGGGGCUGGGUAUAUUUCCAGAGAAUGUCAUCAAGGCGGGAUUUUUUCUUCUAAAAUCAGUGUAAGGCCAUGCCCCCCUCUACAACGUACAUGUUGGUGAUGAUGGUGCUGCUACCUGUACACAGGUAUUACUCUCUUCGUCUCUCUAUUACCUUGCCUCCCCACUCAUGCUUUCAAUUUGCUCUUUCGCUUGGUGAGAUUAAUGUGAAAAAAUGAUGCUUGGUGAGAUUAAUGUGGAAAAAUGAUGCUUGGGAGAUUGUAUAUGUA